UUUGUCUGUCUGUCUGUCAAAUCUUAUGUUUUAAGAUUUCUAAAAUACUUCGUUCUUUUUUUUUUUGUCAAAUCUCUUGUUUAAGAUUUCUAAAACUACUUUGUUCUUUUUUAUGUCAAAUCUCUUGUUUAAGAUUUUUAACCAAACACUUAGUGUUAUAUCAAAUAGUAUGAGCGUUCUAGAGUUUGAAGAUUAGUGGAAGAUGAUCUUCAACUUCCUAGUAUGUUCAUAUCACUUGGUAAAAUAUGAUUUUACGUGAAAGAUUAUUUGAGUUUUCAAAAUUGAUGAGUGUCCUAGGUUUUGAAUGUUCUCUUUGGUCAAAUUUCUUGUUUAAUAUUUCUAAUAUACUUUUUUUGUCGUCAAAUCUCUUGUUUAAGAUUUUUAACCAAACAUUUAAGCGUGAUAUCAAAUAGUAUAAGCGUUCUAGAAUUUGAAGAUUAGCGGGAGAUGAUCUUCAACUUCUUAGUAUGUUCAUAUCAUUUGGUAAGAUAUGAUUUUGCCUUACAAGAUUUCUACUAUUCUAUUUCGAUUUUUCAAAAUCGAUGAGUGCUCUAGGUUUUGAAUGAAUGUUCUCUUAACUUCUUUUUUUUUUUUUUAAUCAAAAUCUCUUGUUUAUGAUUUCUAAUGUACUUUUUCAUCCAAUAUCUUGUUUAAGUUUUUUAACCUAACACUCCGAGUGUGAUAUCAAAUAAUAUGAGCGUUCUAGAGUUUGAAGAUUAGCGGGAGAUGAUCUUCAACUUUCUAGUAUGUUCAUAUCAUUUGGUAAAAUAUGAUUUUACGUGAAAGAUUAGUUGGGUUUUCAAAAUUGAUGAGUGCUCUAGGUUUCGAAUGUUCUUUUAACAUUUUUUUUUUUUUUGGGUCAAAUUUCUUGUUUAAGAUUUCUAGUAUACUUUUUCGUCGUCAAAUCUCUUGUUUAAGAUUUUUAACCAAACAUUUAAGCGUGAUAUCAAAUAGUAUGAGCGUUCUAGAGUUUGAAGAUUAGCGGGAGAUGAUCCUCAACUUCUUAGUAUGUUCAUAUCAUUUGGUAAGACAUGUGUUAAAGAUUUCUAUUAUUCUAUUUGGAUUUUCAAAAUUGAUGAGUGCUCUAGGUUUUGAAGGUUCUCUUAACAAUUUAUUUAUUUAUUUAUUUAUUUUUUUUUUUUUUUUGUCAAUUCUCUCUUGUUUAAGAUUUUUAAUAUACUUUACCAUCAAAUCUUUUGUUUAAGAUUUUUAACCAAACACAUAAGUGUUAUCUCAAAUAGAUGUUUAAGAUUUGUUUAUAUCAUUUGGUAGUAGGAUAUAAAUUUAUCUUAUAUUAAAGAUUUCUACCAUACUAUUUAAGUUCGCAAAAUUGACUCUAAGUUUUGAAUGUUCUCUUAUACGUUUUUGUCAAAUCUCUAGGUUCAAUUUUUUAUUCGUUUAAGAUUUCUUAUCUACUUAAACACAAGUGUGAUAUGAAAUAGUAUGAGCGUUCUAGAGUUUUAAGAUUAGUGGGUGAUGAUCUUCAACUUCCUAGUAUGUUCGUAUUAUUUGCUAAGAUAUUAUUUUGCCUCGUGUCAAUGAUUUCUACUAUUCUAUUUGGAUUCUCAAAAUUGAUAAUUACUCUAGGUUUUAAAGAUUAACCGGGUAUGAUCUUUCAAAUCUUCCAUGAAAUUAGCGGGAGACGAUCUUACUUAAUUUUUUUUUUUGGUCAAAUCUCUCGUCUAUCAUACUAUUUGGGUUUCUAACCUUUCUUUAGGUUUGUCUUAAAAAUAAAAAGUGUUUUAGAGUUUUGAAGUUGAGCGAGAAGCGAUCUAAAAAAUAUCUAGAGAUUUCAAAAAAUUGGAUAAUUAGAGAUUUUAAGAAGGUAAUUUGAAUAUUAGCUAGAGAUGAUCUUCAAAUCUAUAUUGAAGCAAUUUCAAUAAAGGCCACGUACACAAGUUGGAGAAGAUGAACAUACAGUUAAUGGUUAGUUUUUCAACCUUUUCUGUAACGAAUUUAAAAUUAGCCAUUUUCAUCGGUUUUAUUGUUUGACUUUAUUUUGGGCAUAUUGAGAAAUUUUGGAGAAGUUUGGAAUAUCCUCGAAGACCCGAAACAAGCUCCAAAAGUCUACAAUCAAGUAACCAUAUGGAGCAAGUUUCUACGAAAUUACUUGUAGGAGUCGAUUAGGUUUGAAGGCAAUGAUUGAGUAUUAUGUUUAUGAGCCUAGUUUGACUUAGUUUCAUGAGAAUUGUGCUUAGAUGAUGUGAAUAGUUUACCACUUAAUUAUAUUUACCGUCAUAUAGCUUCUGCAUGCAUGAUCUUGUGAACUCGGGUAGAUAAUUGGACUUACAUGAGGUUGGAUUAUUAUCACUUAAUAAGCAUGAUGAGCAUGUUGUAUGUCUUUAUUCAUUGUUAUGCAUUGAUUUAAGGUUUGGAUAGCCCGUUAUUGCCCAGUCAUGAGUUGAACUAAUUGCCAUGUACAUAGAGUGCUAAUUAUGGUUUCCAUAGACUAUGAGUUACUGUUUCACGUAUUUUGGUGCUAGCACCUAGUCAUGAGUUCCAUAGUCUUCUUGGGUUGACUAGGUACCUUGUAGGGACGGAUGCGAGUUGCAGUUCAUAUCGGUAGUUUUAUGUUCUAGCUUGGAAGGAAAUUUUAGUCAUAUCGGUAGUUUUGCUAGGUACCUCACUCACUCGAUUACUUGGUCGAGGAGGAAAUGUGGCUACGAGCCAAACUGCAUAAGACCCAACUGACACUCUCUAACUAAAGGAGAGGGUCUACAGGACCUAACAACAACCUAAUGUUCUAAUACCAAACAACAGUUCUGGUCUAUACAUCAAUUUGGUCUGCACUGUGUGUUAACUUUUUUCAUCGAAAAGCAACAGUAUUUGGAAACACUAAACAAUUUGAUGAGAAAUUUACCGUGGAAUAUUAGUAUACUUGUAAUAUUAGUGUAAUAUUAGUGUACUUGUAGGAUACCAGGACGGCAUAUGUUUCAUUAGUUGGGUUCAGGUUGUUUCAUGGACCCAUAAUUUAGCAGCAUAUAUUAAAAAGCAUAUUGAUGUUAUUCAUGUUCUUAAUCUGCCAAUGUUUUACUUUUUUGUUGAAACAUUGAAAUUGUUGA